CUUUGUGAAGAUGGCUAUUUGUUUCUUGGUUCGCGGCUUGGGAAUUCCUUACUGCUUCAUUAUACUGAGAAGGCUGCUGAAGUGGAUGACAUUGCAAAACGAGAUGAAAAAACUGAGAGUGAUGCCAAUGACCUCCUUCCAAAAAGAAAAGGAUGGACGCCAUUGGGGACUGGAUGGCUUCCGAUGUUGCACUCAUUGAUCCGGAUGAACUGGAAGUGUACGGAAGUGAAACCAUGGCAACGAAGCAACUGACAUCAUACACUUUUGAGGUCUGUGACAGCUUGAUUAACAUUGGACCGUGUGGGAAAAUAUGUAUGGGUGAACCAGCAUUUCUUUCUGAAGAGUUUGUUCAAAACUCUGAUGCAGACCUAGAGCUUGUCACUACAGCUGGCUAUGGAAAAAAUGGAGCACUUUGUGUA